UGCUAGAAUUAAUAUUGGCACACAAGGACGCGACUCGGGCACUGGUAGCUGAGAUUAAUUAAAUAAUCACUGAGCUUGGCCUAAGUGAGCCAGAGUUAGUGGGUUGAACAUUGGGCUUGGCCUAAGUGAGCCGAAGACAGUGACUUUAACUGAGGGUGCGGCCUAAGAGCGUUGAGCCUGUAUAUUGUAUGAUAUGUUUACUGUACACUACAACAUUUUUUAGCAUAUAUUACGGUAAAUAAAUAUCAUAUAUUCAAAAUGUUAUCAAUAAAAUAAGUAACACAGUCCCAUACAAAAAAAACAUGGUUCCAUAUAUAAAAAACAAAGGAAAUAACACGGAAUAAAAAUAAAUAAAAAGAAAAAAGCUACGCGCUAAAAUGAAGCACCAAAUGAAACUUAAUACACGAAAAUAAAAAUGAAAAAUGAAAAGGCAAAUAAACACAUCCCCAUCCCGUAAUCAUCUGAAUCCCUAAUCCUCAUCUACCUGAACUAGUCCCAGCCGCCUCCUCUGCCCAUCCAGUAAGUCUCUCAUCUCCAUUCCUGAAUCGCUGGAGCAGGAACCCAAAAGCAGCUCCUUCUCCCACAAGCGAGUCUUGCCUGCUCUCUCAAGCUACUAUCUCUCCUACUGGAGCAAGAACCCAGGCAUCUCCCUCACGAGUCGCGCGCUUGCUAUCUCUCUUGCUGGAAGCAAGAACCCAGGCCAGAGUAUUCGUAACUGUGAGAAAUUCAGAAAAGAAGACAAGCAACUUUAGGGAACUGAGACAUUUAUAAAGGGAUCUCAUAUUUUCAUCUCAGCUAGUGGCUUCAUUGGAUUUCACAUUGGAAGGAAACUUUAUUUACAACAGUUGGCAAGAGUGUCAAGAUUCGCAUAUUUGGCUCCAAAUGAAAAAUAUUAAAUUUGAUUGGAUCUGGAGAAAUUAUUGCAUAAUGCUAUUUUAUUUCAAGUGAUCCAAAGGAUGAGGUUCACCAUGUUCCUCUUGGGCCUAGUGCUAUGAAAGUGGGGAUAGAUCUUGCGAGAAAGAAUGAUGCAUUUCUGUGGAGGCCUUCAAUAGUUAGUCUACUAUAGAAUAUGCUAUAGGUAGUACAAUUGCAUGACCAUCUGAUAAAUUCAUAAUUAGCUAAGCAAACGGACUCACAACAAAGACAAGUGCACAAAUGAUGAUGAAUUGAAGGAUGGAGCAAGUUUCAUGCAUGGUUUACUUUUGUGUAUCUUGUAAUGUUUAUGUUUUUCAUUUUUGAAGUAAAAAAUGUUCAAGAUUAUAAAACUUUAUUAUGUUAUGUUUUCAAACUUAAGUUAGAACUAAAAUCUCAUGAAGUAGACACAUUCAUGGUUUGAAUUAGUUAUUGUUUAAUGUAAUACUUACGGUUUAUCAAUCUAUUGAGAAUUACAUUUUA